UAUGGCCAUAUCACAUUAAAACACCAGUUCUCAUCUGAUCACCAAAGUUAAGCAAUGUCAAGCCUGGUCAGUACCUAGAUGGGUGCCCAUUUGGGAAUAGCUGGUGCUGCAA